rnacentral:rRNA from 1 species
GAUGAACGCUGGCGGCGUGCCUAAUACAUGCAAGUCGAGCGAACGGACGAGAAGCUUGCUUCUCUGAUCUUAGCGGCGGACGGGUGAGUAACACGUGGAUAACCUACCUAUAAGACUGGGAUAACUUCGGGAAACCGGAGCUAAUACCGGAUAAUAUUUUGAACCGCAUGGUUCAAAAGUGAAAGACGGUCUUGCUGUCACUUAUAGAUGGAUCCGCGCUGCAUUAGCUAGUUGGUAAGGUAACGGCUUACCAAGGCAACGAUGCAUAGCCGACCUGAGAGGGUGAUCGGCCACACUGGAACUGAGACACGGUCCAGACUCCUGCGGGAGGCAGCAGUAAGGAAUCUUCCGCAAUGGGCGAAAGCCUGACGGAGCAACGCCGCGUGAGUGAUGAAGGUCUUCGGAUCGUAAAACUCUGUUAUUAGGGAAGAACAUAUGUGUAAGUAACUGUGCACAUCUUGACGGUACCUAAUCAGAAAGCCACGGCUAACUACGUG